AGCGAACGCUGGCGGCAGGCUUAACACAUGCAAGUCGAGCGGGCAUCUUCGGAUGUCAGCGGCAGACGGGUGAGUAACACGUGGGAACGUACCCUUCGGUUCGGAACAACUCUGGGAAACUGGAGCUAAUACCGGAUACGCCCUUAUGGGGAAAGGUUUACUGCCGAAGGAUCGGCCCGCGUCUGAUUAGCGAGUUGGUGGGGUAACGGCCUACCAAGGCGACGAUCAGUAGCUGGUCUGAGAGGAUGAUCAGCCACACUGGGACUGAGGCACGGCCCAGACUCCUACGGGAGGCAGCAGUGGGGAAUAUUGGACAAUGGGCGCAAGCCUGAUCCAGCCAUGCCGCGUGAGUGAUGAAGGCCUUAGGGUUGUAAAGCUCUUUUGUCCGGGACGAUAAUGACGGUACCGGAAGAAUAAGCCCCGGCUAACUUCGUA
rnacentral:rRNA from 1 species